rnacentral:rRNA from 1 species
ACGAACGCUGGCGGCAUGCCUAACACAUGCAAGUCGAACGAUGCCUCCGGGCAUAGUGGCGCACGGGUGCGUAACGCGUGGGAAUCUGCCCUUGGGUUCGGAAUAACUCGCCGAAAGGCGAGCUAAUACCGGAUGAUGACGUAAGUCCAAAGAUUUAUCGCCCAAGGAUGAGCCCGCGUAGGAUUAGCUAGUUGGUGGGGUAAAGGCCCACCAAGGCGACGAUCCUUAGCUGGUCUGAGAGUAUGAUCAGCCACACUGGGACUGAGACACGGCCCAGACUCCUACGGGAGGCAGCAGUGGGGAAUAUUGGACAAUGGGCGAAAGCCUGAUCCAGCAAUGCCGCGUGAGUGAUGAAGGCCUUAGGGUUGUAAAGCUCUUUUACCCGGGAUGAUAAUGACAGUACCGGGAGAAUAAGCGCCGGCUAACUCCGUG